rnacentral:rRNA from 1 species
UACAGAGGUCUCAAACGUUGUUCGGAUUCAUUGGGCGUAAAGGGCGCGUAGGCGGCCUUCUAAGUCGAACGUGAAAUCCCCGGGCUCAACCCGGGAACUGCGUCCGAUACUGGAAGGCUUGAAUCCGGGAGAGGGAUGUGGAAUUCCAGGUGUAGCGGUGAAAUGCGUAGAUAUCUGGAGGAACACCGGUGGCGAAGGCGACAUCCUGGACCGGUAUUGACGCUGAGGCGCGAAAGC